AGCCCAACUUUCCCAACACGGUUCCGAGCCUCUACCUGAACAGCCGUAGUGGUGUAAGUACACACAGACAGCCUCAUCACGGACAUAAGACUUUUUUCAAAAGAAAAAAGAGCCAGGUUCAGAUUGUCAGUUCAAAGAGGGAGCGAUGAAAAAGGGGAAUGAGAGGAGAGCGUGCAAGGUCAGGAAGAACCAGG